rnacentral:rRNA from 1 species
GACGAACGCUGGCGGCGUGCCUAAUACAUGCAAGUUGAGCGCUGAAGGUUGGUACUUGUACCGACUGGAUGAGCAGCGAACGGGUGAGUAACGCGUGGGGAAUCUGCCUUUGAGCGGGGGACAACAUUUGGAAACGAAUGCUAAUACCGCAUAAAAACUUUAAACACAAGUUUUAAGUUUGAAAGAUGCAAUUGCAUCACUCAAAGAUGAACCCGCGUUGUAUUAGCUAGUUGGUGAGGUAAAGGCUCACCAAGGCGAUGAUACAUAGCCGACCUGAGAGGGUGAUCGGCCACAUUGGGACUGAGACACGGCCCAAACUCCUACGGGAGGCAGCAGUAGGGAAUCUUCGGCAAUGGACGAAAGUCUGACCGAGCAACGCCGCGUGAGUGAAGAAGGUUUUCGGAUCGUAAAACUCUGUUGGUAGAGAAGAACGUUGGUGAGAGUGGAAAGCUCAUCAAGUGACGGUAACUACCCAGAAAGGGACGGCUAACUACGUG